UCAGACGAUGCGUCAUGCAUAUCAAUAAGCGGAGGAAAAGAAACUAACUAGGAUUCCCUUAGUAACGGCGAGUGAAGCGGGAAGAGCUCAAAUUUGAAAUCUUAAAGGGUUUCCCUUGACGAAUUGUAGUUUAAAGAAGUGUUUUCUGUUAGAGUUUCGGUAAAAGUUCUUUGGAAUAGGACAUCAUAGAGGGUGAGAAUCCCGUAUUUGACCAUUAUUUCUAGCUUUGUGAUACACUUUCAAAGAGUCGGAUUGUUUGGGAAUGCAGUCCAAAAUGGGUGGUAAAUUUCAUCUAAAGCUAAAUAUUGGCGAGAGACCGAUAGCGAACAAGUACCGUGAGGGAAAGAUGAAAAGAACUUUGAAAAGAGAGUUAAACAGUACGUGAAAUUGUCAAAAGGGAAGCGUUUGACACCAGUGUUGUUUUCUCGAAAAUCAAUUAAAAAAGGCAGGAUUUUGUGUUGUAUUGACUUUAUCAGCUUUCUGCACUCUUUUCUUGUCUUUUUUUAAUGCACUUUUCGUUUAACAAGUCAACAUCAAUUUCUUUUGUUGUAAAAGGGUCAUUGGAAGGUGGCUUUCUUUUCGGAGAAAGUGUUUAUAGCCUUUGGCCUCUGCAAUCGGAGAGAUUGAGGUCUGCAGCGUAGAUCCUUCGGGGUUAGAUACAUUUGUGCUAAGUUAUAGUACUUUAUAGACAACUUGUUGACUAUGAUUUAGUCAUUGUAGCUUACUCGCUUAUGCUAUUUUACCUACGCUUAGGAUGUUGAUCUACAGAGCGAGAGU
rnacentral:rRNA from 1 species